rfam:Oryza rufipogon genomic scaffold, chr05
UUUAAGUGCAACCAUAAGUUUUCACGCCUAAAUUUGAUCGUUCGUCUUAUUUAAAAUUUUUUUAUAAUUAGUAUUUUUGUUGUUAUGAGAUGAUAAAACAUAAAUAGUAUUUUAUUCGUGACUUAUGUUUUUAAUUUUUUUUUAAAAAAAAUAAAUAAGACAGACAAUAAAAGUUGGACACAGAAAACCAUGGCUGCACUUAAA